UACGUAGGGUGCAAGCGUUGUCCGGAUUCAUUGGGCGUAAAGAGCGUGUAGGCGGCCAGGUAGGUCGGUUGUGAAAACUGGAGGCUCAACCUUCAGAGGUCGACCGAAACCAUCUGGCUAGAGUCCGGGAGAGGAGAGUGGAAUUCCUGGUGUAGCGGUGAAAUGCGCAGAUAUCAGGAAGAACACCCGUGGCGAAAGCGGCUCUCUGGAACGGUACUGACGCUGAGACGCGAAAAGCGUGGGGGAGCGAACAGG
rnacentral:rRNA from 1 species